UGGUGACAAAUUGACAAUAGGGGCCAUCCUGAUCCAUCCAUGCCGCGUGUGGGAAGAAGGCCCUUGGGGUGUAAAAGCACUUUCAGCGAUGAAGAACGCCUAGUAGGUUAAUCCCCAUUAGGAAAGACAUCACUCGCAGAAGAAGCACCGGCUAAAUCCGUGCCAGCAGCCGCGGUAAUACGGAAAGUGCAAGCGUUAAUCGGAAUUACUGGGCGUAAAGCGCGCGUAGGUGGCUUGAUAAGCCGGUUGUGAAAGCCCCGGGCUCAUCCUGGGAACGGCAUCCGGAACUGUCAGGCUAGAGUGCAGGAGAGGAAGGUAGAAUUCCCGGUGUAGCGGUGAAAUGCGUAGAGAUCGGGAGGAAUACCAGUGGCGAAGGCGGCCUUCUGGACUGACACUGACACUGAGGUGCGAAAGCGUGGGUAGCAAACAGGAUUAGAUACCCUGGUAGUCCACGCCGUAAACGAUGUCGACCAGCCGUUGGGUGCCUAGCGCACUUUGUGGCGAAGUUAACGCGAUAAGUCGACCGCCUGGGGAGUACGGCCGCAAGGUUAAAACUCAAAUGAAUUGACGGGGGCCCGCNCAAGCGGUGGAGCAUGUGGUUUAAUUCGAUGCAACGCGAAGAACCUUACCUACCCUUGACAUCGACAGAAGCCGAGAGAGAUCUUGGUGUGCCUUCGGGAACUGUCAGACAGGUGCUGCAUGGCUGUNGUCAGCUNGUGUUGUGAAAUGUUGGGUUAAGUCCCGUAACGAGCGCAACCCUUGUCCUUAUUUGCCAGCGCGUAAUGGCGGGAACUCUAAGGAGACUGCCGGUGACAAACCGGAGGAAGGUGGGGACGACGUCAAGUCAUCAUGGCCCUUACGGGUAGGGCUACACACGUGCUACAAUGGCCGGUACAAAGGGCAGCGAGCUCGCGAGAGUCAGCGAAUCCCUUAAAGCCGGUCUCAGUCCGGAUCGGAGUCUGCAACUCGACUCCGUGAAGUCGGAAUCGCUAGUAAUCGGAU
rnacentral:rRNA from 1 species